CAUCUAUGGAGAAGUCUACGGCAUCACAGUUUUUGGGAAAAAUUGAAAGAAAACGCUCUUUACAUGAAGAAUGUUAUGUGGAACAAUGUAAUUAUGAGGAAGUUCUGGAGGCUUAUGGAGACCGUAUAGCUGCUGAUGCUUACUGGAAACAAUUACAUGGAAAAUGAAUGUCAUCAAAAGUCUUAUUUUGGUGUCUACAAAUGUUUUUUUUUACUCAGAUGCAAUCAAGAAUCAUGUUAUAACUGAACUGCAUGCUGGGAUAUGAGAAGCAAACUAAAAAUGAAUAAAGAUUAUUUAA